rnacentral:rRNA from 1 species
UACGUAGGAGGCAAGCGUUGUCCGGAAUUACUGGGCGUAAAGCGCGUGUAGGUGGUGGGACAAGUCUGCUGUGAAAGCGCCUGGCUUAACCGGGCGAGGUCGGCGGAAACUGUCCGACUCGAGGACGGUAGAGGGAAGUGGAAUUCCCGGUGUAGUGGUGAAAUGCGUAGAUAUCAGGAGGAACACCAUUGCGAAGGCAGCUCGCUGGGACGAUACUGACGCUGAGACGCGAAAGCGUGGGGAGCAAACAGG